rnacentral:tRNA from 1 species
GAAGGUAGAGCACAUGCUUAACAUGCAUGAGGUCCUGGGUUCGAUCCCCAGUAUCUCCG